CGUUCCAUUUCGUUGGGGUGAUCCUAACGUGGUAGUUAAUGGAGGCGGUGGUUCUUCUUCUAUUGGCUUUGUAUACUAUUGCAAAACAGUAAUUACUUACGAUCGAUUUCGUACGUUCGGGCCUAGCAGAAAUCGGUGGUGGUGGCGGUUCAUCUUCCUGUUCGGAACUAGUCGCGCAAGCAUCUGUUGGUGUACUACUUGGACUACUGCUACUUACUCUAUAAUUUUAUCAUUUCUCAGUGGAUAUUUAAAUAUAUACAGAAUAAGUACAAAGAUAGGAAGAGAAAGAGAUUUGUAAGCAUAUGAGGAUUACCUGCUGAGCGAAUGUUGAGAAUGAGAACUUCCAGAAGCUUGCGACAUUGCUUGACCACGAAUAUUUCCUCCUCCUCCUGUCCCAACACCUAUACCCACCAUGCUUCUAGGACUACUCGCUCUCUCAAUAGGAGCUACACAUAAAAUUUCCUGUGCUUCAUUCGUUAAUGUAUAUAUAACUGGCAUAUGAUAAUAACAACAUUACAGAUUAAUC